rnacentral:rRNA from 1 species
UACGGAGGGUGCGAGCGUUAAUCGGAAUUAUUGGGCGUAAAGGGUGCGUAGGUGGUUUGGUAAGUUAGUUGUGAAAGUCCUGGGCUUAACCUAGGGAUGUCGACUAAGACUGCUGGACUUGAGUAAAGUAGAGGGUAGUGAAAUUUCCGGUGUAGCGGUGAAAUGCGUAGAGAUCGGAAGGAACACCGGUGGCGAAGGCGGCUACCUGGGCUAUUACUGACACUGAGGCACGAAAGCGUGGGGAGCAAACAGG